UACGUAGGGUGCAAGCAUUAAUCGGAUUUAUUGGGCGUAAAGGGCGCGUAGGCGGGUUUGUAAGUCAGACGUGAAAUCCCGGGGCUCAACCCCGGAACAGCAUUUGAAACUACAGACCUCGAGGGUAGGCGGAGAAAAUGGAAUUCCACAAGUAGCGGUGAAAUGCGUAGAUAUGUGGAAGAACACCGGUGGCGAAGGCGGUUUUCUAGCUUAUACCUGACGCUGAGGCGCGAAAGCAAGGGGAUCAAACAGG
rnacentral:rRNA from 1 species